UGCUGCAUAUAUGCGUGUAUAUGCCACAUAUAGGCAAAAUUGAGGUGCAUAUAUGUGCAUAUACAGGCCAUAUAGGUCUCCUGUAUUGCUUCUUUAUAUCCACAUAUAAGCCCUAUAUGUACAUACAAGAUACGUCUCCUAGCUCAUGGCAAGAUCUGGUCAUUUUGUAGCUCAUAUCUCACUUUGGAAACUGUCAUACAUGAUGCCUAGCUCAUAUUUUCUAUUAUCAAGGCAAUAACUAAGAAAUAACUAAAAAAAAUUAUGCAAGAACUUAUGUAUGUGCGAACACGUGAAAUGGGUAUCACAUCUAAUUGGCAUGUUAUGGAAUUUAACUAUGGCACUUAAGUGAGAGGAGAUGGAAAGCUAUGAUGUCUACACGUUUUCCUGAAACAUUUACAAGGUCAAUAGUGGAAAAGAAGGAAAUGUAUAACAAAAUGGUUUGUGUUUUUUUUAUUUUUGUCAAUCAAGCCUUUUUUCCAAUUUCAAGUCACUUCCAGAUUCACAUUACAGCUCAUACACAUCCACACAUUCACCGUUACAUCCACCAAAUGCAAUGUUUUCUGUAUUGUCUUAAUGCAUUUUCCAGAAUAUGGCUGAAAGGUCAUUACAGUCUGAAUGUAGCAAAAAAACUAACAAAAGAAAAGUACAUAGAAUAUACAUUCAGGUAAUCAUCAUCAUCCCACAUCUAUCUGAGCAUUUCACUGUGGUUAAUGAAUUUGAAGACAAUGUCAACAUUUCUGUUCACAGUUUUAACAAACAGACACUUUUCUUUUAUCUGAGAUGCUUGUAUAGCAACUAAAGGCCCCAGACAUUUCCUUACAGGGACGUAAUAACAAGGAUUCUUAAAUUGACCGCAGAUGUCCUGUUUCACUUUUUGGUAGUACUUCCCCACUGCAUAACAUGUCUCCCCCUGCCCCAGAUCACAGACAAUGAAUGUCUUCACAGAGAAAAUACUUUCCUCUCGAUCAGAAAGAAUGACAGUCUACGAGUUUCUCCGAAAAGUUGCUGAUGCUGUUCAAGGCCAGAAAAUCAUCAUUUCUGAUCAUACAAAUUUUAGGCCUACCCAGAGAUGUAACACCAUGACAGCGACUUACUUCCUGCACCAUUUUUUUCUCAACUGAAAAAGACUCUAAGAGAGCUAAGUAAUCAUCAGAAGCUGCCACCAUGGUUUUUUGGGAAAAUGAUGGAAAUGCAACCUGUAGCCAAACUGUUUUCAUUAUCUGCAGAGAAACUCCCUGGCUGCUCUUUAUCAUAUCUAAAAUGAUCCCAUUGUAUGACUCAAACACAAAUGCAGACUGUGCCCAGAGGGGACCCCAGUUCCUCACAGUAUUGGGCAGAUGAAGGCACAAAUGUACAUUGAAAGUGACAUUAUUGAUCCCAUAAAGGGUCUCCAUUUCCUGAACAAACUCUGUUAGCAACCCCUCAGAUUCUGAUAUGUGCAGUGGUGAUAUAUUCUCACCGAGUAGAAGAGAAACCCCCUUUACCAACUUAAACCAGUGCUUCAGAUAUUUUUCAGGUAAGACCCCUUUCAAUGUUGGUAUGCUGUAAUAAAACAACCACAUGUUCCA